rnacentral:lncRNA from 1 species
AACUACUCUCUGGUCCUGACCAUCACCUCCAGAAGUGCUGGGAUAUACACGUGUGGGUACCAGCAGAGGAACAAGGAAAACUGGGUGAGGAACUCUGCUCUGAGUGCUCCCCAGACCUUGUCUGUACCAGGUGCAGGUGAUGGUGAGACCACGCAGGACAUCCACAGCUCCACAGGCUUGCUCGUGUUCCCUGUGUGCUCAAGGAAGCAAGACAUGAGCUCAG